CGCCCCAGACUCUCAUGCUUUUUUUUCUUUCAGUCUCAUUGCAGGACCAGGAAGAGGAUCAUUGACACGAAGGGGGACACUAACUCACAGGCUGAAAUCUUCCUUCAAAUUCAGUUCUGGCUAUAGGACAUCUCUUCCCAAACACCUACCGGAUCAUCGAAUCCAGCAUGUUGCAGAUAGAGUGGAAGGUCUGGGGCCAGGUACCUGCUUCACGUCAAUUGUCCAACUUCCCAGUUCUGAUGAAGUUGCCACCAGGCUCCACUCUUCCUUCCCCAUCAGUGCUUGCCUCACACUUGGUCCCAACCAGUUCCCCUAUUUUACCUGUGAGACAGUUUUAACAACCCUGUCCUCUUCCCUAGCCCCCACGCUCCAUUCUCCAUUAGGCAUUGCUUAUCUUUGACUGGACUUUUGAACUUGUCCUUGAGUGGCUCUAUCUCCAUUUUCUCUUCUCCAGUGAAUCCUACACAUGAGUACCCAAUGAAACUUACAAAAACAUGUUUCAAAAUCAUUCCUGCUAAGAAGACCAUCAUAGCUUGCCUAGAAAAUUAAUAAUAAACUCCUACCGUUUCCACACUAGGCCAUUCCUAUCAUAACCUCAACUUUGUUUCAGUUCUUCUUGCCAUUUCA
rnacentral:lncRNA from 1 species